rnacentral:lncRNA from 10 species
GCACGGGUGUAGAAAAACACACAAGUGAUUUCAUUAGAGCAAACGAUGCCUUUCCAGGCUUUCAAUAUGACGGAGAUCAGAGUGACAAAUCGGCAUUUAGAAAAGAAGAUGGAUGGGGCAAGAAUGUUUUGAAAAUGAAAUUUACUCCUACAUGCUUAAAGGCGAUGGAGAAUGUAGUGUUUGCAAGACAGUGUUUAAUUACCAGAAAAAGGAAAGUAGAGUCGGUGAGGAAAAGUGUCCUUGCAACAACAAAUGCAUGCUGAAAAAAUAAUGAAUGCAUUGCAGCACAUUGUUAGCAGUCGUUAUUAUGAAGAAAAUGGUUUGCCUCUGUCUUUCGCAAAUAGAACGUACAACACGCUCUGGCCCAGCCACACUCAGUAUCAUCCCAUAGCGGAAAAGAAGGUGAAAAAUUCUGAAAAAAUAUUUGAGUGAGGAAUGCAAACUUUACAGAGGGUCUUUUGGUUGGACGUCAGUGGCACAUCCACAUGCAACACAGGGAAGUUGGAUGUGUACCCAGACAUGAGAAAUACAAGGAAACAAUGCCACAGGGGACUCCUCAGUUUGGUGAGGUGGGGCAAGAAUUCCCCUGCUCCUAACGGUGCAAACCCUAUAUUAAAAGUAGACAAGCCAAGUGAAACCUUUUCACUCAAAUCCGAUCUGACUGAAGACUUCUAAUUCUGCUCAGAACGUUCAAAGUUGCAAGAAAAUGUCUCUCUCAUCCUAAAAUUUAGAAUUUGGCUGGAUAAUGUAGAAAAUCACAAUGGCUCUUGAACCCAGGAGAUAACUGAGCUUGUGAGGCAACCACAGAGUCUGCAUCUGAGCUGUGAUGAACCUCUCUGAGGUGAAGGGUGCAUGAACCACCUUGUCUUUGGCAGAAUACAGGAGGAUCUGGUCACCACAGAGGCAGGAAAGCUUUUGGAAAGAACUGAAAUUCAAUAUGGAUUUUGAGUGUCUCCACUUUUGCUGCCUUAAAGGUUAUGAGAUAAGAUGCUGGCUACGAGUAUGGAUCAAUAGAGCUUACAGCCCGGAGGACAGGAAAU